rnacentral:rRNA from 1 species
GAUGAACGCCGGCGGCGUGCCUAAUACAUGCAAGUCGAGCGAACAGACGAGGAGCUUGCUCCUCUGACGUUAGCGGCGGACGGGUGAGUAACACGUGGAUAACCUACCUAUAAGACUGGGAUAACUUCAGGAAACCGGAGCUAAUACCGGAUAAUAUAUUGAACCGCAUGGUUCAAUAGUGAAAGACGGUUUUGCUGUCACUUAUAGAUGGAUCCGCGCCGCAUUAGCUAGUUGGUAAGGUAACGGCUUACCAAGGCAACGAUGCGUAGCCGACCUGAGAGGGUGAUCGGCCUCACUGGAACUGAGACACGGUCCAGACUCCUACGGGAGGCAGCAGUAGGGAAUCUUCCGCAAUGGGCGAAAGCCUGACGGAGCAACGCCGCGUGAGUGAUGAAGGUCUUCGGAUCGUAAAACUCUGUUAUUAGGGAAGAACAAAUGUGUAAGUAACUAUGCACGUCUUGACGGUACCUAAUCAGAAAGCCACGGCUAACUACGUG